GACGAACGCUGGCGGCGUGCUUAACACAUGCAAGUCGAACGGAAAGGCCCUGCUUGCAGGGUACUCGAGUGGCGAACGGGUGAGUAACACGUGGGUGAUCUGCCCUGCACUUCUGGAUAAGCCUGGGAAACUGGGUCUAAUACCGGAUAGGAGCCAUUUUUAGUGUGAUGGUUGGAAAGUUUUUUCGGUGUAGGAUGAGCUCGCGGCCUAUCAGCUGGUUGGUGGGGUAAUGGCCUACUAACGCGGCGACGGGUAGACGGACUGAGAGGGUGGACGGCGACAUUGGGACCGAGAUACGGCCCAGACUCCGACGGGAGGCAGAAGUGCGGAAUAUUGCACAAUGGGCGCCAGCCUGAUGCAGCGACGCUGCGUGGGGGAUGACGGCCUUCGGGUUGUAAACUACUUUCGCGAUGGACGAAGCUUUUUGUGACGGUACCUAGAUAAGAAGCACCGGCUAACUACGUG
rnacentral:rRNA from 1 species